rnacentral:lncRNA from 1 species
AGUUUGCUGGAAGCAAAAUCGUGCCACGAUCUUGGGAAAUCGUGACACGAUUCAGAAACUUGCUGGUUAAGUAUCUCUGAUAAGGACUGGUCAACCUGGGGACCGUUGCAGAUCGUGACACGAUCUAGGGAAAUCGUGGCACGAUUUCUUCAGGGCAGGACUAGUAUUUAAAGUGUUCUUGUGCUUUUUUGAAGAGAACCUUAAGACAACCUUGAGAGAACUUAAGAGAGAAAACUUGGAGGUCAAAGAGGGGAUCCUUUGGGGUGUGUUCCUUUGAUGAGAGUGUUUCUUAGGUUGGGAAAACAACAUUGUAAUCACCUUGGGAUUUAAGGUUCAUAGUGUGAGGAUGGGAAAAUACCAAAGGGUAGAUCUAGGGUUUUGUCAUGUGUAAAGCUUGAUAAGCUAGAUUCUUGUAACUCUUUUGUAACACAUUCACAUAUUGGAUUGGAGAGCUGCUCUCUCCCCCAGAUUAGGCCACAUUGGCUGAACUGGGUCAACAAUCUUGCUUGGUGUUUGUUCUUUUCUUUUCAUGGUUUAUCUUGUUAUGCUUGUUAGCUCUUAGUGUGGUUUUGCUAUACAUUAGGCUUAGGCUGUUUUGUUGUUGUUAGCUUGGAGGCCAUUUACUCUCAUAGAUUAUCUCUAUCACUUGCUCCACACAUCAUUGGUUUAUUCUCAUUGGUGUGAAGGUUUCAUUAGUUGAGCCGGAUUCACAACAAAAAUAAUAUCAUCAAACAAGUGAAAAUAUGUACGGCACAUCCUAGGGAAAAUGCAUUUGAAAUAGAAAAGUCAUGCUACAUAUCUAGUUUUUCUACGGUUCAAGUUGCGGAGGCUUCGAAUGAAGAAGGUUAUGAGAGUGCGGGUGCGCUAGUGGUAACAAGUUGGGAACCGGAGAAGAGUUAGGUUUUGGACUCGGGAUGCUCUUAUCACAUGAGCCCUAGAAAGGAAUAUUUUGAGACUUUGAUUCUAAAAGAAGGAGGAGUUGUUCGACUCGGAAAUAACAAAGCUUGCAAAGUCCAAGGCAUGGGCAACGUUCGUCUAAAGAUGUUUGAUGGCCGUGAAUUCCUUUUAAGGGAUGUGAGGUUUUUUCCCGAACUUAAGCGAAAUUUAAUUUCCAUAAGCAUGUUUGAUAAUCUAGGUUAUUGCACUAGAAUAGAGCAUGGGGUUUGUAAAAUUUCGCAUGGUGCAUUGAUUACGGUAAAGGGGUCUAGAAUGAAUGGUUUAUACAUUUUAGAUGGUUCCAUAGUAAUUGGUAAUGCAUCGGUAGCUAGUGUUGCAUCUCAUAAUAAUUCUGAAUUGUGGCAUUUGAGAUUGGGGCAUGUUAGUGAGAGGGGUUUAGUUGAACUAGCUAAACAAGGUUUGCUAGGGAAAGAUAAAUUGGACAAGCUAGAAUUUUGUGAACAUUGCAUACUAGGCAAACAACAUAGGGUGAAGUUUGGGAGUGGCAUGCAUCAUUCUAGUAGACCUUUUGAGUAUGUGCAUUCGGAUCUUUGGGGUCCUUCUAAGACUCCUACUCAUGGGGGAGGUUCCUAUUUUCUUUCUAUCAUUGAUGAUUAUUCUAGGAGAGUGUGGGUCUUUGUUUUGAAAAACAAAAGUGAUACCUUUGAAAAGUUCAAAGAAUGGCACACUCUCAUAGAAAAUCAAAUGGGAACUAAACUAAAAGGUUUAAGAACUGACAAUGGCCUGGAGUUUGUUUCAGAGCAGUUUAAUGAGUUUUGCAGGUUGAAAGGAAUCAAGAGGCAUAGAACCGUACCAAGAACACCGCAACAAAAUGGUCUUGCGGAACGCAUGAAUAGGACUCUUUUGGAGCGUGUGAGGUGUAUGAUUCUAGGAGCUGGGUUACCUAAGAGUUUCUGGGGUGAAGCCGUGACAACGGCUGCUUAUUUGAUCAAUAGAUGUCAAUCAACGAGAAUAAACUUCUAGACACCUAUGGAGGUAUGGAGUGGGAAACCGGCGGAUUACUCCUCUUUGAAGGUUUUCGGAGCUUUGGCAUAUGCGCAUAUCAAGCAAGACAAGCUUGAGCCUAGAGCUUUGAAAUGUGUCUUCAUUGGUUAUCCGGAAGGUGUGAAGGGAUAAGAGUUGUGGAAAUUGGAAUCUAGUGGAAGAUCAAGAGUCUUGAUAAGUAGGGAUGUUACCUUCGAUGAGACCCGAAUGGGGAUGAAGUGUAAAGACUUAGAGACUCAAGUACCGGAAACUAUGGUGGAGAAAACUCAGUUUGAGGUGGAGCUUCCAAAUGAAGAAGAAGAAGAUGUAGAAGAUGAAGCUUCGACAUCGGAUACAAGUGGAACUCAACCGGUAGUGGAUCCUGAGUAUCUAUUGGCAAGAGAUAGAGAAAGAAGGACCAUUACGGCUCCUAAGAGAUUCGGUUAUGCGGACUUGGUGUGUUUUGCUCUAAAUGCGGCGGAAGAUGUGCAAGACUCGGAGCCUAGAAACUUCAAGGAGGCAUUUGAGAGCAAAGAGAGCAAGUAUUGGUUGAAGGCGGUGAAUGAAGAAAUGGAUUCAUUGGAAAGGAACCAAACUUGGAAACUUGUGAAGCUACCUAAUCACCAAAGGGUAGUUGGAUGCAAGUGGAUCUUCAAGAAAAAGGAUGGCAUUCCGGGUGUUGAAGGUCCAAGGUACAAAGCAAGACUUGUGGCAAAGGGUUUCACUCAAGUGGAGGGGAUCGACUACAACGAGAUCUUUUCACCGGUGGUGAAGCAUUGUUCCAUAAGGAUACUUAUGGCUAUAGUGAAUCAAUUCGAUCUUGAGUUGGAACAAAUGGAUGUGAAGACCGCUUUCUUACAUGGUGACCUUGAAGAGACAAUCUACAUGGAGCAACCGGAAGGUUUUGUGGAGGACAAGUCUAAGGUGUGUCUUUUGAAGAAAUCUUUGUAUGGGUUGAAGCAAAGCCUUAGGCAAUGGUAUGGUCGGUUUGAUGAGUUUCUUUUGAAGACCGGUUUUGUGAGAAGCGGAUAUGACUCUUGCGUGUACAUGUUGAAGAAGAGUGAGAAAGUCAUUCUCUAUCUUCUUUUAUAUGUGGAUGAUAUCUUGAUGGCGAGCUCUAGCAAGGAUGAGAUUAUGAAGCUCAAGGAGAGGCUAAAUGGUGAAUUUGAGAUGAAGGAUCUUGGUCCGGCAAAGAGAGUUCUUGGGAUUGAUAUCAAGAGGAAUCGUGACAAAGGCGAACUUUUCUUAUCUCAACUUGGGUAUUUGAAGAAGGUGGUGGAGCGGUUUAGAAUGUCAAACUCUAAAACCGUGAGCACUCCCUUGGGACACCACACAAAGUUGUCCAUACAACAAUGUCCUCAAUCCGAGGAUGAGAAGCAAUUGAUGGAAGGUACUCCCUAUGCAAGUGGGGUUGGAAGCAUCAUGUAUGGAAUGGUUUGUAGUAGGCCGGACUUGGCUUAUGCGGUUAGCAUUGUGAGUCGGUUUAUGGCAAAUCCGGGAAUUGUGCAUUGGCAAGCUUUGAAGUGGGUUUUGAGGUAUUUGAAUGGGUCGUUGAAAGGCGGUUUGAAGUACACAAGGGCAGCUCAAGAUGAAGACGCUUUGGAGGGGUAUGUUGAUGCGGAUUAUGCGGGCAACGUGGACACUAGAAAAUCCUUGUCGGGUUUCGUGUUCACUCUUUAUGGCACGGCGAUUAGUUGGAAGGCAAAUCAACAAUCCGUGGUGGCAUUAUCUACAACUCAAGCGGAGUACAUCGCACUUGUUGAAGGUGUGAAGGAGGCCAUAUGGUUGAAAGGGAUGAUUGGUGAGUUAGGAAUUACUCAAGAAUGUGUAAGGAUACAUUGUGAUAGUCAAAGUGCCAUUCACUUGGCAAAUCAUCAAGUGUAUCAUGAAAGGACAAAGCACAUUGACAUUCGCCUGCACUUUGUUAGAGACAUGAUUGAAACAAAAGAGAUUGUGGUUGAGAAAGUGGCAUCGGAGGAGAAUCCGGCGGAUGUGUUCACCAAGUCAUUGCCUCGAUCAAGAUUCAAGCAUUGCUUGGACUUGAUCAAGUUUGUCGAAGAGUAAUUCCCUUUUGGAGAGAGCAGCAUGGUGGUUGAUGGUUAAAUUGACAUCACCACCAAAUUAGAAGUCAAGGUGGAGAAAUGUUGGAAUUUGGCUUCAAAUUUGUGGUCUGGAAGAACAGAGGAAUCGUGUCACGAUUUUGUAAUCGUGACACGAUCGGAGAUGUCGGGAGCCAAGUUUGCUGGAAGCAAAAUCGUGCCACGAUCUUGGGAAAUCGUGACACGAUUCAGAAACUUGCUGGUUAAGAAUCUCUGAUAAGGACUGGUCAACCUGGGGACCGUUGCAGAUCGUGACACGAUCUAGGGAAAUCGUGGCACGAUUUCUUCAGGGCAGGACUAGUAUUUAAAGUGUUCUUGUGCUUUUUUGAAGAGAACCUUAAGACAACCUUGAGAGAACUUAAGAGAGAAAACUUGGAGGUCAAAGAGGGGAUCCUUUGGG